rnacentral:ncRNA from 1 species
UAUAUAGUUCGAUUUUAACUAUCAGUUUGAUUAAAACAAAAUAUAAUACAUGCAACUCGCCAGACACCCGUGCAACAAUAAAACUUCUUAAAGAAUAAAACCGGUGGAUAAGAAUAUCUAACCCCCACUUUCACGCCUGCAGUAAAGAAUAUUGUGAUAAAUAAAACAUAUGUUCCAAAUAUUGUAUUGUGUGCUGACCAAAUUCGUGCCAGCCGUCGCGGUUAAACGAUAAGCACAAACCAAACCUUACGGGCAACGUUAUGAUAAAACCUAUAAAUUAUUUAAUGGUACAAUAUAUAUAAUUUAACUUACUUAUUUUAUAUCAACAUAAUUAAACGAAAGAAUAAUCAAAAACAAGGAUUAGAUACCCUUUUAUUUUAUUCAAUAAAUAAAUGUCCCGGGCAUUACGAACACACGUUUAAAACCCAAAAAAUUUGGCGGCGUUUCAUGUAAUUAGGGGAAUCUGUCAUUUAAUUCGAUAACCCACGCUAAACCCUACUACCCCUUGCAAUACAGCUUGUGUACUGCCGUCGAAAGCUAACACACCAAAGUAGUUAGCCUCUUAGCUACCUCUAUUACGUCAGGUCAAAAUGCAGCUUACAGGGUAGCACUGAUGGAUUACAUUAAUAAUAUAACAGAAUAAUGAAAUUAAAAAUCAUUUGAAUAUGGACUUAAUAGUAAACCCCUUAUAGUAUAAAGGCUUGAAAAACAAUCUGAAACGUGUACACAUCGCCCGUCACUCUCACUGAAAAGAGAGAUAAGUCGUAACAUAGUAGGCGUAACUGAAGUUGUGCCU